rnacentral:rRNA from 1 species
AGUGAACGCUGGCGGUAGGCCUAACACAUGCAAGUCGAACGGCAGCACAGUAAGAGCUUGCUCUUACGGGUGGCGAGUGGCGGACGGGUGAGGAAUACAUCGGAAUCUACUUUUUCGUGGGGGAUAACGUAGGGAAACUUACGCUAAUACCGCAUACGACCUACGGGGGAAAGCAGGGGAUCUUCGGACCUUGCGCGAUUGAAUGAGCCGAUGUCGGAUUAGCUAGUUGGCGGGGUAAAGGCCCACCAAGGCGACGAUCCGUAGCUGGUCUGAGAGGAUGAUCAGCCACACUGGAACUGAGACACGGUCCAGACUCCUACGGGAGGCAGCAGUGGGGACUAUUGGACAAUGGGCGCAAGCCUGAUCCAGCCAUACCGCGUGGGUGAAGCAGGCCUUCGGGUUGUAAAGCCCUUUUGUUGGGAAAGAAAAGCAGCAGGUUAAUCCCCCGCUGUUCUGACGGUACCCAAAGAAUAAGCACCGGCUAACUUCGUG